UACAGAGGGGGCAAGCGUUAUUCGGAAUUAUUGGGCGUAAAGGGCGCGUAGGCGGCCAUUCAAGUGACGGGUGAAAGCCCUCGGCUUAACCGAGGAGCUGCCUGUCAGACUGGAUGGCUUGAGACCGGGAGAGGUGAGUGGAAUUCCCAGUGUAGCGGUGAAAUGCGUAGAUAUCUGGAGGAAUACCGGUGGCGAAGGCGGCAUCCUGGACCGGCAUUGACGCUGAACAGCGAAAGCUAGGGGAGCAA
rnacentral:rRNA from 1 species